rnacentral:lncRNA from 1 species
CCUGUACUCCUGGGGAUGAAGACCCUGUCUAAGGGCUACACAAAGCCAUAGACAGAAAUAACCCAUCUCAUUUGAAUGUCCAUCUUAUCAACGGUUAACGAUUGAAAAUAUAUUAGCCUCAAAAUAUGCCCUGGAGCAGAACAUGAAAUUGAGUCAGAUUUAAAGGUAAAACCCCAUGAUUUUAUAGAAAGGUCAUCCUUUCUACAGGUCACUUUGGACCCUGUGCCCGGAUUCUAGUGAUAAGUCUUCAUUCUCCGUCUCAUGAGAGUCUUCAGUGCAAACGGACGGACAGGAUUUCCUGGUCUAGAUACUUCCCGGUGACCACCUUCAAGUUUCUCCCUUAUAGCCCUCCUCUAACAUUUACAUCUGACAGUAAGAAGCAGAGUUGGGGGCCCCACUAAAACCCCAAACAAGGGAACCUGAGUGCUCUGG